UGUGAAGCCGGGACGCUAGUUCUGGUGGAGCCAACCUUGAAUACCACCUGGUUGUUUGAGGUUCUAACCACGGCCCGUGAAUCCGGGGUCUGGGACCGUGCAUGGUAGGCAGUUUGACUGGGGCGGUCUCCUCCUAAAGUGUAACGGAGGAGUACGAAGGUACGCUAGGUACGGUCGGACAUCGUGCUGUUAGUGCAAUGGCAAAAGCGUGCUUGACUGCGAGACUCACAUGUCGAGCAGGUACGAAAGUAGGUCAUAGUGAUCCGGUGGUUCUGUAUGGAAGGGCCAUCGCUCAACGGAUAAAAGGUACUCUGGGGAUAACAGGCUAAUACCGCCCAAGAGUUCAUAUCGACGGCGGUGUUUUGGCACCUCGAUGUCGGCUCAUCACAUCCUGGGGCUGCAGUUGGUCCCAAGGGUAUGGCUGUUCGCCAUUUAAAGUGGUACGUGAGCUGGGUUUAAAACGUCGUGAGACAGUUUGGUCCCUAUCUGCCGUGGGCGCUGGAAAUUUGAAGGGGGGCUGCUCCUAGUACGAGAGGAC
rnacentral:rRNA from 1 species